rnacentral:rRNA from 1 species
GCGUAACGCGUAGGCAACCUGCCCUCGGAUGGGGAACAACCACGGGAAACCGUGGCUAAUACCACAUAACAUCCACUGGUCGCAUGGCCGGUGGACCAAAGCCUUAGGGUGUCCGGGGAUGGGCCUGCGUCGGAUUAGGUAGUUGGUGAGGUAACGGCUCACCAAGCCUACGAUCCGUAGCUGGUCUGAGAGGAUGAUCAGCCACACUGGCACUGAGACACGGGCCAG